CGGAGGCUCGCCGGGAGCUGCGGCUCCCCGCACCGCGGAGCCUCCGCGGCAGCGGAGCCGCCAGAGGCCGUGCUGGUGCGGGCCGGGCCCGCAAUCCUGGCGGGACCCUGCCCUGCCCUGCCCCGGUGGAGCGCAGAUGGGCGGGGGUCCCGGCGCACGGGCGGAACGAGGACUCGGUUCUCCCGCGCUGGUGCCACCGCCGUGCCGCGCGGGACGCUGCUUUUUGCGAGGGUGGCGAGGGCAGAAGCACCGCGGAGGCACAGAGCCCGCGGGAUCACGUCGGCCGGACCGAGAAACAUGAAAGAAUACAGGAAGUCCUGCAUGACCUUAUGAAUACCUGUGCUAAUUAACUCACUGGCUUGGUACUGGGAGAGCAGCAAGAUAAUAACACAGAGUUUUGUUUGGGAAAUACAAAUCUGAGAAUGGAGUGGAAAGGGAAAUGGUCCAAAUUUCAGGUAACAAAAAUUGCC
rnacentral:lncRNA from 1 species